UACGUAGGGUGCGAGCGUUGUCCGGAAUUACUGGGCGUAAAGAGCUCGUAGGUGGUUUGUCGCGUUGUCCGUGAAAACUCACAACUCAAUUGUGGGCGUGCGGGCGAUACGGGCAGACUGGAGUACUGCAGGGGAGACUGGAAUUCCUGGUGUAGCGGUGAAAUGCGUAGAGAUCAGGAGGAACACCCGUGGCGAAGGCGGCCCCCUGGGUCGGCCCUGACGCUGAGGCGCGAAAGCGUGGGGAGCGAACGGG
rnacentral:rRNA from 1 species